rnacentral:misc_RNA from 1 species
GAUGAAGAACGUAGUGAACUGCGAUAAGUAAUGUGAAUUGCAGAAUUCAGUGAAUCAUCGAGUCUUUGAACGCACAUUGCGCCCCCUGGCAUUCCGGGGGGCAUGCCUGUCCGAGCGUCAUUGCUGCCCUUCAAGCCCGGCUUGUGUGUUGGGUCGUCGUCCCCCCCGGGGGACGGGCCCGAAAGGCAGCGGCGGCACCGCGUCCGGUCCUCGAGCGUAUGGGGCUUUGUCACCCGCUCGAUUAGGGCCGGCCGGGCGCCAGCCGGCGUCUCCAACCUUCUAUUUUACCAGGUUGACCUCGGAUCAGGUAGGGAUACCCGCUGAACUUAAGCAUAUCAAAAGCGGAGGA